UGCUCUUUGUAAAAUUUAUUGACAUAUAAAGAGUACUGCCUGCCCAGUGACGUAGUUAAACGGCCGCGGUAUUUUGACCGUGCAAAGGUAGCAUAAUCAUUUGCCUCUUAAAUAGAGGCUGGUAUGAAUGGCAAGACGAAGGUUAAGCUGUCUCUUUCUUAUAUCUUGAAUUUAAUAUUUUUGUGAAGAAGCAGAAAUUUAUUCGUAGGACGAGAAGACCCUAUCGAGCUUUAAUUAUAUGUGUUUAUAAAUAUUAUUAUUGUAUAAAAACUAAUUGUGUUAAUUCUAUAGGAUUUGACGUUAUUUUUAAAGGUAAAGAUUAUUAAAUAUAUAAAUUUUGAUUGGGGCAAUCAUGGAGGAAAAAUACCCUCCAUUAUAAGAAUGAUAAAUAACUAUUUUAUAUGUAAAGAUCCGCUGUAUAGCGAAUAAAGGAAUAAGUUACCGUAGGGAUAACAGCGUAAUUUUUUUGGAGAGUUCAUAUUGAUAAAAAAGUUUGCGACCUCGAUGUUGGAUCAAGAUUUCCUGGAGAUGCAGUAGUUUCCUAAAGGUUGGUCUGUUCGACCAUUAAAAUCUU
rnacentral:rRNA from 1 species